ensembl:lncRNA
GUCAGAAAACAUUUCACCAUCCGACUUGGAAUAGUUUCAGUGACUGGUUUUUAGCAUAGUUUCAUAUGACUGAGCAGUUUCCUACAUCCAAGGGGCCCAGCACCAUCUGAAACUACGGCCCAGCUAUAUCCAUUCUGUACCUCAUUGGUGUAACAAAACAGGUUCUGGGGCACCUUUGGUUACUGGACUCAUAGGUCACUCUUGGGUAAAUCAGCUAGUCAAGAAUUAGUCAAGAAGAAGAAAUCAUGGCCCUAGUGGAGCUGAUGACAGACCUGUGUCCUUUAUCUCUUCUUCUGAUGUCUAGCCCAUGAACAAUAAGAUAGGCAGCAGGUAGGGUUUUUGUCCAAGGCCAAGGCUCCAAGCACUUGCUGAAGAUUACAGUAGCCAGAGAACUCCUCAGGCCUUGUCAGCUCACUCCAGUGUCUCAGAGACUCAGACUUAGUGUCUCUACAACACCCCAGAGGUGCCAGGAGGUCAAUCUCUGGGCUGGAGGCCCUGCAGUGCAGGAGAUGAGAAAUCUGAGCAGAACGUCAAGAACAAGGCUGUCUUCUCCCUGCAUCAGAGUUUCUCACACAGAAGUGUGGCUGUGGGAGUGAGACCUUGACCCUGGUGCAUCCCUGGCCUUCCUCUGCUAUUGCUGCUGUCCCAAGAGAAGUCUGCUAGCAAGAUGCUCUGAGGCGGGAGCCAUCGCACGGGCUUGGGUUCACUCCAGCAGGAAAGCCCUCCUUCUUGGCGUUCCCUAAAGUUCUGGUACCACUACCAGGCCCAGUGCUGUGGAUCCCAUCAGCUUGUUCUGAGCCAUUGCAUCCUUAGAAGCGAGGGGAAUUCUAAUACUGAGUGAGCAGGUGUUGACUUGUAUUCAUUGCAGGCCUUUGACUGUCUCACAUCCUGCACGUAUUCUUCUUGGGGACGCUGGGGAAGGAGGGAGAUUCUGCUUUCCUAGGUGUGACAGGAAAUUACCAUCAGAUUUCAUUUCUUCCUGUUUCCUGAGGUCAAGUAACAAGAGAAGCCAGUAGUAAAGAGUCGUAGGAUCAUUUACGUUUUAUCAGACAGAGUGCUGACUUCCCUCCACCUUCCCAAAAGAAGAUUCACUCUCCUAUAUGAGCCUGACUUCUGCACCACCUCCAGGCUUGUGGUACCACUUCUAUCCUAAAGAUCCCCACUAGCGUGAGUCACCCAGGGAGGGGUAGGUUGCUUUGUGGGACCUCCUUACCUGGUCUCAAGUUCCUCUGAGAAAAGGCCUCCCCAUCCCAUUUCUUCCCUCCCCCACCAAAAAGUAAAAGUUUUCCGCAUAUAACUUACUCUAAGCAAGCAGAUACAGAGAAGGAACCUGGAGUAGGGACCCUUAGAAGCCAGCCAACACAGCCUGACACAUUCAAACUAAAUUUGGGCCACAGAACAAAAAGAAGAAUAUGGCUUUUUGAAUCGUGCAUUUUGGUAUGUUUACUUACACUUCUGAUUCUUCGGAAUUUGAAAAACCUCAAAGACUCCUUUUAUUUAUUCUCACCAUUUGGACAGCACCUAAGUAAUUUUAUAAAAUGCAGCAUUCCAGUUCCCUGAGUUUCCCCCAGGCCUUUAGGGAGACUCCACUCCUAAAUCACCUCUUCCCCACUGGUCUUCAAUUCCCAAAGGGCCUGGGGCCAGAGCUGAUGUUCUGGUCUCCAUCUCUCUCUCUCUCUCUCUCUUUCUCUCUCUCUCUCUCUCACUUGUCUUUGGUUGGUCAUCUCUCCAACUACACUCCUCUUGGUCCUCCUCUCCCCUAGGACCAGGGUCACAUGUCGGGGCGAUCAAGUUUGAAGCCGAACCCCCCUUCCUGCCCAGACCUCAGACAGAAGGUCAGUCGUUAGCAAACUGAGACUGACUCUUCAGUGACAGGCUCAUCCGAGCCAUCUAGUGAGAUUGCUGUGGAGACCCAGGGGCUGUUUGUCAUCUGGAGCACAGAGGCGGGACUGUCUGCUCGGGCUGGUAGUGGCAGGAUCCUGACGGUGGUUUCCUCUCCUCCUCCCCUCCCAAGAUCUGCCACAGCGCACAGGUAGGGGUGUUGGGAUACUUGCAGUGGAGGAAUCUCCUUGGGCAAGGAGAAAAUUCAGAUAGUGCCUCUAUAUUCUGUUUUGCCUUCCCCCCAACAUAGAAUUGACAACUGGACCCCAGAGCCCAGCAGGCCCUGUACCACACAUGCUAGAUGGUUUGAACAGGUCCCCUGUCAGACUGAGGGGCACUAGAGUGGGUGACCGACAGGAGGGGCUGGCAGCCCGAGGCUUCCUGAGCGGCUUCUCCCAACACCAUGUUCCCAGGUCAAUCGAAGCAGGAAAACAGGCUGUACAGCAAAUGCUGUGUGAGAUCUUAGGCCUUUAACUUUUUUUUUUUAAGAAGGAAAAAAAGAAAAGUAAAACAAGCCUCUUUUGUAAAUGGUUUUCCUUUCUAUGUAUAAAAUCCUGGCAGUUUCUUGUUUUUACAUGUUCAUGCUGUGUAAUUUUGAGAUGUUACUGAGAUUCUGAACAUAAUGUGCAUUUUUUUCUGUACAGAUGAAAUGGGAGAAUUUAAUAAAGAGUUUGCAGGUUUUUACUUGUU